GGGAGAAGGCAGACUUCUAUAAGUCAGAAGAGAGCUCUCACCAGAAACCAAAAAUGCCAGCACCUUCAUCUCAGACUUUCCAACCUCUAGGAUGAAUACUCAGAUCAUGGCAACUCCAGAAUUUCCACGUAAGAAGAGUUUUCAAAGGACAAUCUGAUGGGAGAUGCACUUGACAAGACAUCUGGACGAUCCUAUGAAGGAAAGGCAUGCUUCCCAGAGACUGGUGCUCACUUCAUAACGGAGCAGCAGGGCUCUGGCUCUGAAUUCUGUGUACUGUUAUUGCCACUCUGACCCAUGCCAGAGUUUUGUAAAUCACAUCAAAAGCCAGAAUAAAUGACGAAAAAGCAACACUGAGAUGUGGCCAGAUCUAGAAAAAUUUUUCUUGAUGUUGAGACUACGUUGAAACAACUGACAGAGAAUUUUACGACGAUGAAUUCCUAACCAUCAGAAGCUCCUCAUAAGUAAUUGUUUGUUUAUAUUUUGUUUAUAUUUGGUUAUAUAUUUAUUUAUAUUUGUUUAUAUAAGGAACCCACUCUUCUCUAGUGCUUAAGGGAAAUAUUUUAAUAAACAGCUCUUGUAAGAAAAAUUUAGAGGCAUCUUAAGACAAAAUGUUAUACAAGUAGAUAGAAAAGAAAGUAGAUAGAAAAACCUCAUAUUCGUGAACCAAUUCUGUCUUGAUGUUGCCUUUCACUUUGGCUAAAGGUUUGCAUGUGCAGCCUUUUCCACCCACCACGUGCCAAUCUCACA